AUGAAUGAGCAUCAGCUGCUGAAAAAUCUUGAGAACAACUCAUUAGUUACAAGCCCACCAGAAGAGACUGAUGCCACUGUAGAUCCUCAGGCUGCUGCUGAGACAUUAAGAAGAAGUCAGAGAACACGUAAACUCACAGCAAAAGGCCAAGAGCUCCAAGAUAGUAAGUCCAAAAGGCUUCAGCAUCUCUUCACAGUUGCUUAUGACAAGUGGAAAACACAAGCUAAAGAGGUUAAGAAAGCUCUUAACAAGUCUACGUCCAGUGAGCUCCUUAGAGAACUUGUGAGUACGACUUGUAAGGCUUCAACAGAUGUGAAACAGACCUAUGAAGACUUAAGACAAUAUUGUACUCCUGAUGGUGAAACACGCCGCAGAGUAGAUACUUGUGAUGCUAUCUCAAAACAAAUUGAAGAAUAUGCAUCUAAUCUUCUUGAAGAGAAAGACAAAGAACAGGGUGCAAAUAGUGAUCAAGUACACUGGGAUGGAACUAGUUCAGUGCUUUCAUCUGCUAUAUCCUCAAGGUUUAAGUCAAGAUCAAAAGGUUCAAAAUCUGCAAGCAGUUCAUAUGUAAGCACGCGACACUCAAGCUUGUGCUCUGCAAUGAAACAAGACGCUGCAGCUGAGCUAGCUGCUACUCGAGCUACCUUGCAAGCUUUAAAAGAAAUAGAGUGUGAAAAACAAAAGCUUGAAAGUUUAGAGGUAGAAAACAAACAGAGGCUUGCACUACAAGAAGCUGAAAAUAUUGCAAGACAGAAUACACUAGAAGAAAAGCGCAGAGAGAUUUUACGUUUAGAGACAGUUAAGCAGAUGAAUGCUGCUAAAGCCAGACUACAGGUCUAUGAACAAGGAGAUAACUCAGAUGAAGAGAUAUCAGAGUUGCUUUAUAGCACAAGGCUAAAUCAAAGCACACCUGUGCCCAAGAAAGAGAGACCUCCAGUGCAAUGCACAGCAUCACCACUAGUGACACAGGUCCAGUCUGCAAGUAACAGUAAACCUGAUAACAGUGCGAUCUCACUUGCUGAAGCAAUAGCAGAGUCAAUUAAUUCAAGCCGUCUCCCAGCACCAGAGCCAUCUAUCUUUACUGGAGACCCAUUAAGAUACAAAGACUGGAAGAUGUCUUUUCAAACACUGAUUGGCAGGAAGAACAUCCCAGUAAAUGAGAAAGUCUACUACCUCCGCAAAUAUGUUGGUGGAUCAGCAAGGAAAGCCAUUGAGAGUUAUUUCCUGCUUAGUACAGAUGAGGCUUACCAUUCAGCUUGGGAAGUCUUG
ensembl:lncRNA